rnacentral:lncRNA from 1 species
CCAUUUCACCAUGCCUUGCUCCGAUUCCUCCGUUUCCGUAAUUUCGCAAUGCACAAUUUACCCCGACCAGAAAUCCGCCGUCAAGUCUCUCAAGCUCUCCGUCUCUGAUCUUCCCAUGCUCUCCUGCCACUACAUCCAGAAGGGCGUCCUCCUCGACUCCCCGCCCUUCUCCGUCGUCGACCUCCUCCCCUCCCUCAAACACUCCCUCUCCCUCGCCCUCUCCCACUUCCCAGCCCUGGCCGGUCGAUUCGAGACGGACGCAGACGGUCACGUCCACAUUGUCUGUAACGACACCGGCGUCGGUUUCGUGCACGCCAAAGCCAAGAACCU